rnacentral:rRNA from 1 species
AGUGAACGCUGGCGGUAGGCCUAACACAUGCAAGUCGAACGGCAGCACAGUAAGAGCUUGCUCUUACGGGUGGCGAGUGGCGGACGGGUGAGGAAUACAUCGGAAUCUACUUUUUCGUGGGGGAUAACGUAGGGAAACUUACGCUAAUACCGCAUACGACCUACGGGUGAAAGCAGGGGAUCUUCGGACCUUGCGCGAUUGAAUGAGCCGAUGUCGGAUUAGCUAGUUGGCGGGGUAAAUGCCCACCAAGGCGACGAUCCGUAGCUGGUCUGAGAGGAUGAUCAGCCACACUGGAACUGAGACACGGUCCAGACUCCUACGGGAGGCAGCAGUGGGGAAUAUUGGACAAUGGGCGCAAGCCUGAUCCAGCCAUACCGCGUGGGUGAAGAAGGCCUUCGGGUUGUAAAGCCCUUUUGUUGGGAAAGAAAAGCAGCAGGUUAAUACCCCGCUGUUCGGACGGUACCCAAAGAAUAAGCACCGGCUAACUUCGU